UUAAUUUACAUUCAAAUCAAAACAAUAAUAGCAAAAUCGAUACAGAAAAUUAGCAUGCCCCUGCACAAGAAUGACACGCACACAUCGAGAAAUUGUCCAAAGUUUU